UACGUAGGGUGCAAGCGUUGCCCGGAAUUAUUGGGCGUAAAGAGCUCGUAGGCGGUCUGUCGCGUCUGCUGUGAAAACUCAGGGCUUAACCCUGAGCUUGCAGUGGGUACGGGCAGACUAGAGUGCGGUAGGGGAGACUGGAAUUCCUGGUGUAGCGGUGAAAUGCGCAGGUAUCAGGAGGAACACCGGUGGCGAAGGCGGGUCUCUGGGCCGUAACUGACGCUGAGGAGCGAAAGCAUGGGGAGCGAACAGG
rnacentral:rRNA from 1 species